UACGGAGGGUGCAAGCGUUACCCGGAUUUACUGGGCUUAAAGGGUGCGUAGGCGGGCAGGUAAGUCAGAGGUGAAAUCUCCGAGCUUAACUCGGAAACUGCCUUUGAUACUAUCUGUCUUGAAUAUGGUGGAGGUAAGCGGAAUAUGUCAUGUAGCGGUGAAAUGCUUAGAGAUGACAUAGAACACCCAUUGCGAAGGCAGCUUACUACGCCUAUAUUGACGCUGAGGCACGAAAGCGUGGGGAUCAAACAGG
rnacentral:rRNA from 1 species